GCUCCCCCGCCAAUUCCUUUAAGUUUCAGCCUUGCGGCCGUACUUCCCAGGUGGCUCGCUUCACGGCUUCCUACGGCACCGACAACGGUCGCACCGUGGCCGACACCUAGCGAGUAUCGUUUACGGCUAGGACUACCCGGGUAUCUAAUCCGGUUCGUGCCCCUAGCUUUCGUCCCUUGCCGUCAGGUCCGUUCUGGUGAGACGCCUUCGCCACUGGUGGUCCUUCAAGGAUUACAAGAUUUCACCCCUACCCCUGAAGUACCUCUCACCUCUCCCGGCCUCGAGCCAGACAGUAUCUCCUGAAAGCCUGACAGUUAAGCUGCCAGAUUUCUCAAGAGACUUAUCCGGCCGGCUACAGACCCUCUAGACCCAAUAAUAACGGUUACCACUCGAGCCGCCGGUGUUACCGCGGCGGCUGGCACCGGUCUUGCCCGGCCCUUGCUAUGAAAUGCUUUUUAGGCAUCUCGACAGCCAGAUUUGUAACCUGGCACUCGAGGUUCCCUUAUCGCU
rnacentral:rRNA from 1 species